rnacentral:rRNA from 1 species
CCUACGGGAGGCUGCAGUGAGGAAUAUUGGUCAAUGGCCGGAAGGCUGAACCAGCCAAGCCGCGUGAAGGACGAAGGUGCCAAGCAUUGUAAACUUCUUUUGUCAAGGGACAAAAUCAGGCUCGAGAGCCUGACCGAGGGUACUUGAAGAAAAAGCAUCGGCUAACUCCGUGCCAGCAGCCGCGGUAAUACGGAGGAGGCGAGCGUUAUCCGGAUUUAUUGGGUUUAAGGGGUGCGUAGGCGGGCUGUUAAGUCAGCGGGAAAGGCCCGGGGGUCACCCCCGGCGAGCCGUUGAAACUGGCUGUGUGGAGGUGUCGAGAGGUAGGCGGAAGGCGCGGUGUAGCGGUGAAAUGAGUAGA